rnacentral:rRNA from 1 species
GUUGGUGAGGUAACGGCUCACCAAGUCGAUGAUCUUUAGGGGGCCUGAGAGGGUGAUCCCCCCACACUGGUACUGAGACACGGACCAGAUUCCUACGGGAGGCAGCAGUGAGGAAUAUUGGACAAUGGGUUAGCGCCUGAUCCAGCCAUCCCGCGUGAAGGACGACGGCCCUAUGGGUUGUAAACUUCUUUUGUACAGGGAUAAACCUAUUUACGUGUAAAUAGCUGAAGGUACUGUACGAAUAAGCACCGGCUAACUCCGUGCCAGCAGCCGCGGUAAUACGGAGGGUGCAAGCGUUAUCCGGAUUUAUUGGGUUUAAAGGGUCCGUAGGCGGAUCUGUAAGUCAGUGGUGAAAUCUCACAGCUUAACUGUGAAACUGCCAUUGAUACUGCAGGUCUUGAGUAAGGUAGAAGUGGCUGGAAUAAGUAGUGUAGCGGUGAAAUGCAUAGAUAUUACUUAGAACACCAAUUGCGAAGGCAGGUCACUAUGUCUUAACUGACGCUGAUGGACGAAAGCGUGGGGAGCGAACAGGAUUAGAUACCCUGGUAGUCCACGCUGUAAACGAUGCUAACUCGUUUUUGGGUUUUCGGAUUCAGAGACUAAGCGAAAGUGAUAAGUUAGCCACCUGGGGAGUACGAACGCAAGUUUGAAACUCAAAGGAAUUGACGGGGGCCCGCACAAGCGGUGGAUUAUGUGGUUUAAUUCGAUGAUACGCGAGGAACCUUACCAAGGCUUAAAUGGGAAUUGAUCGGUUUAGAAAUAGACCUUCCUUCGGGCAAUUUUCAAGGUGCUGCAUGGUUGUCGUCAGCUCGUGCCGUGAGGUGUUAGGUUAAGUCCUGCAACGAGCGCAACCCCUGUUACUAGUUGCUACCAUUAAGUUGAGGACUCUAGUAAGACUGCCUACGCAAGUAGAGAGGAAGGUGGGGAUGACGUCAAAUCAUCACGGCCCUUACGCCUUGGGCCACACACGUAAUACAAUGGCCGGUACAGAGGGCAGCUACACAGCGAUGUGAUGCAAAUCUCGAAAGCCGGUCUCAGUUCGGAUUGGAGUCUGCAACUCGACUCUAUGAAGCUGAAUCGCUAGUAA